GGCUCUGCUCGCUCUGCUCGCAGCAACAGUAUGUAAAUGCGAUGAUGGAUUGGUGUUUUGAGAAAGCAGCUCCUCCAGUUGUGGCCUGAUGGCACUCAUCAAGAGCUGCUCUGCAUUUUAACUGAGAAGGCAGCAGUCACUUAGAGCAGAAAUAUUGCUGCACGUGGCCGUGCGUAUGGAUGUGCGGUGGUGCCAGGCGUGCUCGGAGGGCACUGCUUGCAGGGCAGCACAGCCACAGCUCCGCCGUCUGAUGACAGCCCGUGCAUACAGAAUGGGAGAAUUGGAGAAUAUAAACAAAACGGGAUGGAGGCUUCUGCCACAUCACGUUAGGGGACGCAUCUGUGAGGGAUGCAAUGCUUGGAUUAUUUUGCGGAUGGUCACAUUACUGCUCUGAAUACAUCCUUUUUCCUUCAAGCCAUAAACUCUGGUGUUGGAGCAGAGAGCAGCAGUGCCCCCUCCACUUCCAGCCAGACCUGAGUGCCUGCUUUCCUAGCAGCAGAGGAACAGAGCAGUGCUGCAGGGCGGCCCUACACUGCCCUGCCUGGUGCUGAGCUGCCAGUCCGGUGUGUAGCCUGCAAUAUUGGCAAGACAGCAUUAAUGAAGCAGUUCAGUAUGGUCACCAGGGAGGAGACAGCACGGUUCUUCUCAAGGGGAAGGAGGGACCUACUUGCUGUUCUUGCUGCCCUGUGCUCUGCUUUCUCUUGCUGUGUUGCCCAGCCCUCGUCCUUCUGGGAGCCCAGGCAGAUAAUCUUUCUGCAAUAAGCUGAUAUUCAAACAGAAAGAGUUCACUCCUGAACUGCCCCAAUAUUUGAGAAAGGUUUUACAGUGAAAUAGGUUUUUUCUGAGUCUCAUUAUUGGCCCGGUGGCUGUGUGUGUGCGCACGCAUGGCCAGCACACUGAGAAGGGCAAUACCAACAGAAUGAAAAGGUCAUAGUUAUAUAAAAAUCCUUUUAAAACUAAAUAGCCCUGGCACACUAAAUUCCCUGUGGAUACUCAGCAGUUGAGAACUGAGAGAGUCAGGGCAUUCAGAAGGUCGAAUUCUGCAUCUGCAAAUGCCUGGUGGAAGCCAGGAGCAGUCUGCAGCUGUGGUCAGCCUGAGCCACCCCCAGUCCAUGGGAGAAGCAGAGGAAGGAGCCCCACGGAGCUCAGUGUGCAGGAAAAAGGUACAGCUUGUACCAGAAGGAUUGCACAGAGCCUGCCCAAAGCAGAGCGAAGGUUGGUCUCGCUUGUGCUGUGCCUCUCAGAAAGACAAAACCACCGGGUGACCAGACUGGCUUUGAGGACAGGGGCUCCCGAAGGCAGAGAAGCUGUCUUUGUGUUUGAGGAGUCUGCUAAUUUGCUCUCCCUAAUUACUUUUUGAUUCAUACUAACUCUCAGGAUCUGGAGCGUCCUGCUGCAGAGUCCCUUAUAUGAGAUGGAAAAGCACCUCUGAACCCUUCGCCCUUCUUUCUCAUGAAGGGAGCAGGCAUCCCUGUUCGUCAUCAUCAUGGCUUUAUUGAUCUCUGUUGUGUCUGCUUUGCCCAUCCCUUGCCCCAUCCAAUGUCCCCACGUGAAGUCCAUCUGCUGUCCACCCUGCCUCGUGCCUGCCCAGCUCUGCUCUGCCUGCUGGGCUGCUGCAGGUGGGUAAUUUGGGCUGCAUGAGGCAUUCCCUGUGCAGGAGUUUGUGGACUUUUUCAGGGGCACAAUUAUGCUUUCCAUAUGUUUCCGUAUUCCUACUAACCUGUUAGCAUUCUUAAUAGCAACCGAGUGCCAGGCAAACAACUUCAUAGCACCUAGGGACGUGGUGUAGUGGUAAUAUUGGUGGCAGGUGGAUGGUUGGACUAGGUGAUCUUACAGAGGUCUUUUCCAACCUUAAUGACUCCGUGAUUUUCCAAUGUUCUGCAGUUGUUUUCUGUUCUUACUGCCCUGCGUAACUUCGUCUCAUUGGCAUCCCUGGGGCCCAUGACUCUGUGGCUCACAGCAUUCCCUGCAGGUGUGGGACCACGAGGUGGUGAAAUAAACCAAAGUGUUUAUAAUGGCUGUGAAAAUUUAAUUUUUAUUAUCUGUUCACUGUAUACAAAACACCAUUCUGCAUAGUGAUAACUCAUUUGUUGUACAGUUGACAGUGCACAUCAACAAACAAGUGUCGGAGGUAUACACUCAAUGAGGAGGGCAGUGGUGGCCGGGGUGAUGCUGGGAUGGAGGAGCACCUCACAACCACUCAUGUAUGAGUAAUAGAAAUGGGAUAGGAAGCAUUUACCAACGAACCAAAUCAGUAUGGAUGAGGAUGAAGAGACAGAGCAGGAUUCAUGUAUCCGAUACACAACUUCCAGAGUGAUUCAGAAGGGUUACGGAGGCGGCUGAGAAGGGUCUGUAUUUUUUCCAAACACUUCCAUCUUUAAAGUUGCUAAAAUUUAGUGAUAAAUAACAGAAUCUCACAAAUAUUUUGGGGCAAAAUGCUCCACAUUUAUUUACAUACGAAAUGUGUUUAAUACAGUCGUAAUGGACGUAGUGUAUAGUAACAUCUGACAGCAGCAAGACUUUUAAGGAACCGAACAAUUACUACCGUAUAUCAUGCAGCUAUCUAUAUGUACAAGAUUUGUUUCUUUUUUUUCUUAAAAAAAAAAAAAGAAAGAAAAAAGAAAAGAAAAAAAGUAGAAAAAGGUCUUCUAGGGAUUCGUACAAGGUAUAAAAUGCAAAAAGAAAACAAAAAAUGUAACUCUCACAGAGAACCACAUACGAAAGGGACAGCGCGGUACCUUUCUGCACCCGGUGAAAGCUCACCAGUGGUGUUGGAUGCACUUUGAAGCUCUGUGAGGUCUGUGCUAGAGGUGAAGUGCCAGUCGUACCCACGUGGGCUGGUGUGGUGCGUUUGCUCCUCGACGGCUGUGGUUGAACACUGAGCACCGGGACAUUUGGCAUUAGCAAACAGAGCUGGGAAACGCCAACCCCGGCAGCAAGGGUUGGCUCUGUUCUUUUGAUAACCAGAGAUAAAGGAAAAUACUUAAUGCUGCGUAAUCACUUCUAUAAUGUUUAAUAAAUUACAUAACAAAAAAAAAAAAAACCAAAAACCAACAAAAAACACACAAAAAAACAUCAUUAUAAUGAUAAACCUAUGCCUCUAAUUACAUCUUACUUGUUUAAUCCAGAGCAGCCCAGCCCUUUUAUAACUAUUGGAGCUUUGACCACAAGCACCUGAUGGCUACAAAUUACUUCAUGAUACAUAUACAUAUAUAUAUAUAUAUAUACUUGUGCAAUUAUGCAUGUCAGAAGUACGUGAUCCCCUGAGGUGUCUGCACCUGUUCUGGUGUCAGCACCUCAACCAGCACUGCACUUUACAUGUGCAGGGACAUUGUUUUUGGAGAGAAAGUCUGAAAGCUUCCUGCCACAAGCAGAAUCAUCCAGAGUCCUGCAGGAUGUGGCAUAUCCCCUUGGCUUCCUUGCUUUUUCUUCCCUCCAGGCGCUGCCUUCGGUUGUGUUCCCAUUUGCUAAAUGUUCUGUCAGAAGCAUUCACGUAAGAAACGGUUUAAGAGACCCCAGGAAACUUCCCCAGCAUUAAGAACUCUGUUUUAGAGAAACUUACUACAAAAACAAACAAACAAACCAGAAAACGAAACGAAACAAACAAAAAAUUUCCACUAGAUACCAAUACAAACACGUAACAAAGAGUAUAAAAGUUAUUAGUUUAAAUAUAUACAAACUCUUUUCAACUCAAAUACUGCUUCAAUGGUUCCGAGGGUAUAGACAAUGAGGUGAGGGGGACGUCGUUAUGCAGAAUAUAUUGCAACAGCCUGAACAGUACUGUUAGCACUAUUAUACCUUGAACUUUCUGUAACAAAAACGUCAUUACUAUUCCAAUGUGGAGAGAGAUUUCCAUGUCCCAACGCUCCGAUCACUUUUCAGCCGAGCUCAUCCUUUUUGACUUGAUGAAGGCCAUGCCGUGUGUUCUCAUGUGAGUAUUUAAGGCCGCUUCAGUUUCAAAAGUCUUUGCACACACUUUGCAUCUCCUGUCUGACACCGUGCUGUCGGUCGGUUCGUCCUCGUGGUUGGGUUUGUUCUCUUGCUGAUUAUCCUCCCCAGACCCGUUCUGCUUUGAGACUGGCUGCGGCUCCUUCAGCUUGUGUACGAUGAAGAGGUGCCUGGAGAGAGACACGUGAGAUGUGUAGCAGAGUCCACACUCCCUGCACUGGUACGAAGAGCCGUCAGAUUUAUGCUGAGGAAUGUGUUCGUGAAACUGGAGGAGAUUUUCGGUUGUGAAGCCGCAGACAGCACACUUGUGAACCUUAAAAACAUUGAUUUUUAGCUUCUUCAGUGGCUGUGUGAUUGCACCUCGGGGAGGCCUGAAUUCCAGGACAGGUUCUUCCAAUUUACGCUUUGGACUGGGAACCUAAAAAAAGUCGUAAACAGUAUUUCUGUAAGCAUAAAUACACAGUGACUGCAGUGGCGUGCCGAGCAAGCUCAAGGCUGGGCAUUUGGGAUAAGCUCACCGUGCUUCUGUGCAACCUGCAGCUUCUCUACAGCUAGGAGAGGACUUAGUUGCACAAGUUUUGAAAAGCAGAAAAGCAGAAUUUUAUGGGAUCAAAAUAUCUGCUUAAAGAUCCUGAAUGUACCCCCACAAAAACUCAGAGACUGAAUGAAUCUUCUAAGUGAUUACCUUUGCAUCUUCUUUCACUUCCCUUUCUUCCAUAUUAGUCGACUCAGUCAUUUCUUUGACAUCAGGGUCUUUAAUGCCGUGCAUCAACUGAAUAUGUUUUUCCAGCAUCAGCCGUUUGGUAAAGGUACGUCUUGAGUCUGGGCAAUGCCUGUAUAAACACAGAGCAAGCGUGCAGAGGCCCAAGUGUCACGCUCAGAAAGAGAUGUACUACUCUGAAGAAUGUGAACAGAGCUAGCAAGUAAGCGCAGACAAGUCCAACCUACUAACGAUAAUAUUGAAAGACAGCACUCUUCCAAUCAACUGCACGAGUAUUCUCAGAAUGGGAGAACAAUUACAAAACAGAACUACAGCUUGGAUUCACAGCAAGUGAGAGAAAAGCUCUCGUAAGACAAUACCCAAAGCAGUACAAAGUGUGGGAGCACGAGUUUGUUUCUUGUACCUCUCUUAAUGUAACUAAACUGUACAUUCAAUGAAACGCUUUGUCAAGUUCUCCCUAACUAAAUUUGAGCAAGAAAGCCAUCACUUUCCAUGAGGGAUGAAUGCUAGCUCCAGAGGAGUCUUAAUUCUGCACUCAACUCCAAAUUCUUUGUCUCCUUGGAGCUAGUCCAUGAGGCUGAGGUUAGGUUGGGUUAGUCUAACCUCAGUGCCUGGAGAAGUUAUGAAGAAGAAACACUCAAUUCACAACGUUUGCUGCUGGUUUACACUCUAUAUAUCUGGAAAAUAAAACAGAAGCAGUACUUACGAGCAUGUAUAAACCUUCCUAAUGCCUUUGUGCUUGAUGCGGUUGUGACGACAUAAACUAUGGGACGAGCUGAAAGAUUUGUCACACUGCCGACAAGGGUGUUUCUUCAUUUGCUUUAAAAGAAGAGGAACACAUUGAUUUUUUUAAAAGAAAGAGCUGAGUGGAAGUAGUCUGUGUGCCAAAACCUUCAGUAAUAGGAGAGAAACGUACUUACCAGUGUCUGUCACUUUUGUCAAGCACACAACAUUCCUACAGCAGCACUGCAGGAGCUACAUCUCUUUCAAAGCACACACUACCAAAGACUGCAAACAGAAACCAUGGGCUGCAGGUGAAGUGAAGCUCUUCCAUCAAAGAGGCAAGGGAGAUUGGGGGGCAAUUUCUGGAUUGGCAAAAGCAGAAUGAGCAGAGAUGUGCUUUACCAUAAGGCCACCUUUCCUUUCCCAUUGCCUAAUAACUUCUGAAGCUGCUGACCAAGAGGUUACCAUCACCCACAAGACGAGGGGUGAUAAGGACCAAAGCAAAGCAUCACGAAUACUGAUGUGCCAACAAGGCUCAGAGAAGUCACAAGGAAAUGCGGGAUACAGUCUGAUGCCAACCUGAGGAACCCCUGUUUGGGGAAUUCUAUGUGUUUUUUAAUCACUCUUUGUUAUGUGGAAGGAGAAAGAAAAGGAAGGAAGGUAAAAAGUAUGGAACAGUCUCCAUCUAUGCCAUUCCAGCUGAACACAGCCACUGGAGCUCUAGUAUCUGAAGAAAUGAUGUCUCCAAAACUGUGAACUAUAAAAGCCCCAAGAACAAAUGACACAGUCCUACGCUUUAGGUCUUAGUAGCUUAUUAGCACAUCGAAAUCUUAGAGCUCAGUCCAAAUUGGCCCAUCUUAUCAUAGUUGCAGCAAGGAAACUGAAAUAUUCCCAAUCAAAUCUCCUGCCUUCUACAGUUAAAUAGAUUUUUCAAGCUCCUAUCUGUAAUUUUCUACCAUUCUGGUAGUAAUAAAGAAAUCAACAAAACAUCUUGAAAAUUAAAGCCAAACAGUGCCCAAACAGAUCUCAUUUAAGACUUUCUCAUAUUGCUAUCCAACAAUCCAGCUGGGGCCAGAGCCCCACGCUCAGCAUUCUGCACAACCACUCCUGCCAUAACCAGGGUGUACAAGGUCUGAAGAAGCUGGUCACUUGCACCCAGACUGCAAACAUUCUACACUGAGGAAGAGCUCUGCUUGCUGCCCAGGUAGAACUGCAGGAAUGGUCAGUUUCAUGUGAUCAGUCCAGUUAUCUAGAAGAAAAAAAACCCAUGUUCCCAGCCUUUUCCUGCCCUGGCAGAGAUGAGAGCUUUCCUUCAUAGCGUUGAUAACACUUUCCUUCCUGUAUCUCUUUGGGAAACUGAAAAAAAGCAAAUAAUGUAAUGUCAUUCUGCCGUUCCAGUUGGAGCCACUGAGCCAAUGAUUUGGAUCAGCACUUGGAAUUGGACCCUCCUUGACUCUUCUAGAGAAUCCAUACAAGAUACAUCCCUACGUUCCCAAGCAUUCAACAGCAAAGAUUUUCUUUGCAGAAGCAUGUUAAGGGCUUGGCUUGUUCUCAGCUUCUGAGGAAACGACAGAUUCCUACACAAUGGAGACAGGCAACAAUUCACAUGCAAAUUUUCAUGUGAUACAAGUCACUCUCUGGUGCCUAAUCUAAACUAAUAAUAAGAAAAACAAUUCUCAAUCCUAAAUAACACAUGGCUCAAGUCACAUGGAAAUGCUGAUGGAGAUGAGAGACCUUUCGCUAUCAAGAUCAACAUCACAGGAAACGUGGGGGAAGGAAAGAAGAGGAUUUCUGAAAGGUCACUGAUGCAGAUGGGAGGAAUCCCAUUAGGAAACAAGAUACGGUUAUCAUACUAGGGAUAGUCCUUUACAUAAUGCCCUUAGGGGCACAGUGCUCCUCAACAUAGAUUACUUUCUUUUCCUGUUUAAAGGCCAAUUAAAAAAAGAAUCAACACGUUCUUCUCUGAAAUUGUUGAAGUACAUACACACAGUGCAUCCUCAUUAAUGCUAAUGCAUUAAUCAGUACAAUUUGCAACAAGGUUUUGCAGUGUGCUUAUGACUGCAGUGCCCUGGGAUGAAUUUGCAGAAGCCUAAAACAAAAUGUGAAAGCAUAUUAUGAAAGAGAGGCAACAUCAUAACAGUAAUUCUCGUGCUUUAAGAUGGACGGGCUGCUUCCUCAGGGAUAGGAAGCCCUAUAGAUAGAAGGAAUAACCACAGGAUAAAGGCAGGAGAACGUGGGGAACCAUCACGUGGUGUGUGCAGGAAAAGCAAGUGCUGUGACUGGGAUAGCAACUGGAAUUUCUUUUAUGCACAAACACAUGGCAUGCAGCCCUGCUAAUAUGCAAGAUAUAUUUUUCUUUCAUUUUCUUUUAAUCAAAAGUCUGAAUGUUGUAUGUGUGAGGAUAUGGGUAUUAUGCCACUCUCUCAUGAACUCCCUUAGGACAGUGAACAACAGCCACAGCUUCCUACAGCGUGACAACAUCCCACUUAAAAAUACUACAGAGAUCAGCACAGAUAAAUAGCUCAACAACACAGCAAUCAGCCAUACUAAUUUUGAGUAUGGCUAAAAAGGUAUUUAGUAUUUUAAACAGAACAGGUGAAAUAAACCAGAUUUCAGGUGGACAGCAAGACCAACAAAGUAGGUGGUGCUGUAGCAACUGCUCAAGCUCUUACAUGCAUGCUGGUAGAGCUCUGAAACACUGCCUAGCAUGUGAGCACAAAGCAGGUCAGAUCAUCAGGCUGCUCCCAUUCAGCACCCCAUGAAACAGAAUGGUUAAUUUAAAUGAACCUUGCCACUUGCUAAUAUGCAAGUAUAAAGCAAUGGAAGAGACUAGAUAUGCUAUCAACUUCCACUGGAAUUCAAUGGAACUGGAGUGCUGUUCUAUUUACUUCUUAGAAAUACCUGUCCUUGAUACAUGAAGAGACCUAACCAAUGACCUUUAUGAUGCAGCUUUCCCUGUGGGACAUUUAUUCUGUAAUUAGGUGCUGCAGGAGCUGUUGCACAGCAUCUUGUCCUUAGCUACAGGAACAAGAGGAUGUUAAAUUAGUUUUACUGCCAGUUGGAACUGGUAAAGCAAUUCCUGCUUAGAAAACAUCUGCCCUUUCUCGGAAAGGCACUGAUGGAGAAAUCCUAAGAAGCUCAGCAUAUGUGUACCGGGCUGAGAUACACCAGAUUCAGCUUUGAGGCAGGAGCUGCACGGCUGUGUCAGUACCACCCUCUGUCUGGGAUAAUCACUUUUCUUUUCCAGAAACAGCAUUUAGGUAGAAUCACACCACGGUGGCUACAAACCUCCCAGUAUCUGACUAACCUUUAGCCAGCUCAGGAAGAGGAUAAGAAAAUGUGAAUGGGUAUACCUGCCAUUGCUUCCCAAUACUGUCAAGAAUCCGCCCAAAGAGGACAUACGUGGCUGUAUCUCUCCCGUGUCUGGAUAAUUUGGUCUGGGAUCAGCUAAAAGGGGGUUACAGCUCCAUACCUUCACUGCGAGCCUACAGCAGCAAUUAAGAGUUUGAAACUAAUUACCUUCAAGUACCUUACAUGACAGUGUGUUCCGUAAAUAGCUCAUGAAUUGCUUAAUUAAAGUUUUUAAUGCACAUUCUGCAUAGGCAAUUUUAGAGCAAAUAAUCCUUACCUAGCAUUCCUUAGAGAAGUGGACUACGAAUUAAUGCCAUUAUUAAGUAGACCCACUUCACAUAUUCCUUCAUCUUAUGCUCAUUUCUAGUCUCUCUAAAGUAAAAUGCAUCUGUAACAAAUUACGUUUUGAAUACAAUCAUUUAAAAAGCCAAAAUGAAUGACAGUUUCAAGAGGUCUGGAAGAAGAGUGGCAACUGCUCUUUACCACCCAUCUCUGGAAGCUGUAUCUAUUCACUUCGAUCUACAUCUGCCUCCCAUUUCUCAAGGAGACAUUCAGUAGGGAAAAAAAUGUAAGUAAACAAAUAUAAGCAAUGAAUUGUCCCUCCAGGCCAGUGCUUGAGUGCAGUAAUUAUCUGGUAUUUCAUAAUGAGGGCUGUUCCUGAGGUUACAUGCACAUUCCCAUUAAACACGAGAGGGAGGAAGAUAUAUAUUUAAAGUUAGCAUCAUAAAGCAUCAUCAAUAUGGCACUAACCUUAUCUUACGUGCCUUCUGCCACUGGGAUGUGUGUUUCGUUACACUGGACGUGAUUUUCCAGCUCAUUCUAAAGCAAGUGUCAUGGGGAGUCUGCAUUGCUGUGCUUUGGUUUUAAGAACGGCAUCGGUGUAAAAUCUAAGCAUGUCUGGUCCUGCAGAUAUUUAUGCUUGCCUGUAUAAGCACUGAUGAGUUAAUAUUUGUGCUAAUUGGAAAAACAAGAUCGAUGAGUAUUUCACGCGCUCCUAGACAGACCAAUUUUAAGAGAAAACUGAGCUGUGAUUGUAUGAGUAUCAGGGGAUCAGAAAUAGAUCAUCCACUCACUGUCACGCUGCGGGGACAGCAGCACAUCGCAUGGAGUUCCUUUACCAGCACUUCACAGCAGAAGCGUCACAAAUAGAUCUGCUGGGCCUGAAAGCGAAGCAGUUCACACUAAUUCCUCCACGACUUCAGUAGAUGGAAAUGCAAAACUGGGCUUCUAAAGCAGGAGGAGAAACCAAACAGAGCUGUCUGUCCGACCUGCACGCCCUCAGGCUGCAAAGGAGAACCAGGUGAAGGAAAAUGUAAUUCUGUGAAUCAAGGUCAUGAUGCCAUGGGCUGCUCCAUCACACUGGGCUGACGCUGCCCUGUGUGGGUUCCCAGGCUCUGUGGAACCAGCUCCUCAUUCCUACAUGCUGAUUUUCCUUCAGCCCUGAAUCCUGACUGAAGCAACAGCUCCUGUUAUCUUCCCCUUCCAUGCAACCUUCAGCCUUUGAGGUUCCCAGUCUUGGCUCACCCAGACUUGGAUUGCUGCCUCCUGGCUCUGGCCGGACACAACAGUUUUGGCACUAAUGCAGGCAAGGUAACAGGGAGGCACAGCCACUGCUAGAGCAAUAAAAGCAACCCAAGACUGAAAUGAAGGAAUGGACCAUUCAGUUUCCUCUGUUAUCCACGUUUGCCUGACAAUAAGCACUUUGCUCUCACUGCUGUAAAUGCUCGUGCACUUCAGCCACCUCACGCAAAGCAUUCCUGCCACCUGCACGACUCAUCCACGACUCAGGUGGAUGUAUGCAAACACACAUUUUGCAUACUUCUAAUUCUGCUUUGCUUUUGUAAGACCUACCACUGCUUCAAGCACAUCUGAUGUUUUGCAAGAUGCCACCUUUGCUAAAAGACAACUGUUUACACGGAGACUAAUUGAAAGAGACUGCUCACAAGGAUACAGAGCUAGUAUGUUUUAUGUCUUAACUCCAUCGAUCUCCCUCCACCUAUAUGGAGAAGAGAGGAGGCUGGACACCCAUCAGGAUAAUUUUCUAAACUGUGAAGCACAGAAGGAAGGAGGAGUCUGAGUCAGCUGUGUGUUGUAUUUAUCACUGUUCUUUUCCUUUUUAGCUAUAUUUUAAAAGCCAAUUUCAUAGCUCCCUUCCCUGCAUUCAGUAGCAGAGGAAAACCGUUCAGUUUCUCUACUGCCCACCUGUCAGUCGUUUUCAUUUAAUUGGAAAAGCUCUGGGAUGCAGCAAGGACACCCAGCUGCCUUUCUGCUGACCUGAGAACACAGCAUUUCCAUGUUUCACUUUCAGUCAGCUUUGAGUAUGUUAUCUCACAUCUUGCUGCUUUCAGUAAAGAUUUCACCUUGUUAACUCAGCUGCCUUGCUGUGUAAGAGCAGAGCAAUGGCUUCACCUUGCAACAGGGGCGAUGGCAAAGGCACAAAGGAAGAAGUAGGAGCCUGGAUCAGAGGAGAUAACUUGGAAGAAAUACUGGAAUAUCCUUCAUUCUUUCCAUCCUGAAGAAAUUUUGGUAAUGGAUGAACAAGUCCACCACUAACUAAGAGUGCCUGGGUUUUCUCAAAAAGAUCUAUGCAGAAACUGGCAAAAAAUAAUCAGCAAAAGAGAGAGAUGAAAUACAUGUUAAGAACGAAGAAGAAUAACGAUGGAACUUAAUUAUCUGCAACUGCAUUAGAAACAACAACUUAAUGCAACAACUGCAUUAA